AGAAGCUUUCGCCUCCGCCUUCAGACUGGCCCUCAGGCUUCCCUGCUCAGAGGCAGGGAAUUGUGCAGCUGGAGUUUCAUUUUCCAAGAGGCAGGGUCUCAGUCUGUCACCCAGGCUGGAGUACAGUGGCACCAUCUUGGCUCACUCUAGCCUCGACCUCCUGGGCUCAAGUGAGCCUCCUACCUCAGUCUCCCAAAAUGCUGGGAUUACAAGCAUGAACCACUGUGACUUGCCUUCUUGGCAAUUUUAAAUGAAAGAAGAAGAUGGAAUAAUGCCUACUGAGGACUAUGUUUGAGGGGUGUUGUAUGACCCCGUUUUCCAUACCCAGCCAACUUGUCAUGUGACAAGUCCACAGAAAGAUGUUAUAUGACAGGAAUCUAUGAACUAGUCUUCCCUGAAAUGUACCUGACUACAGCUAACAUCAUAUCACAUGAUGAAAGACCGCGUUGUUUUCCCCUGAGGUUGGCACAAACUCCAACAGGCCCCAAACGAGCUGAGAAAAUAUCCAACUUCAAAGGUUUUGCACAAAUCAUCUUAAAGGCCUGACCUAAGCCCGGAAAGCCGGAACGAAGCCCAGAAAUCAGUCCUCAUUUCAUCGCCGUUUAGCCAAGACACCUUUCCCGUCCACAGAUCACAUCUGCCCCCUUCUGCCCCCGCCCAGGUCCCAACCACCUUGAGACACCUGCGUGAUCCAUCCUCAAAGCAAUGAGUUAGGAGCCGCACUCCUGGUCCUUGGCCGGUGGCUUCAGUGUUAUUCCGGGGGGCUGGGUGGGGGCACCUGUGGGGACUGCCCCGUGAGGCUGUGGUUUAAUUUCCUUUGCUACUUUCCUUAGCUCUUCAGUCUCAGUCUCAGCCACUGAAAUGUGUCUUGGCCACUGGUGGUACAGCACAGGGUGACACUGUUGUCAGCGAGAGGAAGAUGCUUUUUUUUUUUUUGAGAUGGAGUUUUGCUCUGUUGCCCAGGCUGGAGUGCAGUGGUGCAAUCUUGGCUCACUGCAACCUCCACCGCCCGGGGUUCAAGCGAUUCUCCUGUCUCAGCCUCAUGAGUAGCUGGGAUUACAGGCACCCACCACCAUGCCCAGCUAAUUUUUGUAUUCUUAGUAGAGAUGGGGUUUUGCCAUAUUGGCCAGGCUGGUGUCGAACUCCUGACCUCAGGCGGUCCACCUGCCUUGGCCUCCCAAAGUGCUGGGAUUAUAGACAUGAGCCACUGCGCCCAGACAGGAAGAUGCGUUUGUGAGCCGGGACAAUUGUGAGUGGAAAGAGAAGAAAAAAAGUAAAAUAAUAAUACUAAUAAUGCCUUUUCUCUGGUCCUGGAAGAUCUAUAUGAACUUGUAUUUUACAUCUCUUGUCUGGAUUUAGCUGUGAAAGACCAGUAGACCAACUGGUGGGAAAAAUACUUGCACGGCAGCAGGUUGUUUGAAUAAAAUAGGAGAUUUCCAGUCUCA
rnacentral:lncRNA from 1 species